AUGAAGGUUGAAAUGGAGACUCAGGAGGAGUUCAGACGGCGGCUAGAACACGCCACUGUCAUGGUUGUCACCACAGACUGGCGGUUUGAACUGCAUACCUUUGAUCAGUUCCAGAACAUCAGCAGGAGACAUCUGGCCAAAGCCAUGCUCCCAACACCAGGGAAGUUCCUGGCCAUGGUGUUCCAGGACCUGCUGACCAAUAAGGAUGAUUACCUGCGUGCCUCUCGAGCCUUGCUGAGAGAGAUCAUCAAACAGACCAAGCACGAGAUCAACUUCCAGUCCUUCUGCCUGGGUCUGAUGCAGGAAAGGAAGGAGGCCACCUACGUUGACAUGGAGUUCAAAGAACGCUUUGUGAUCCAGGUGACAGACCUGCUCACGUGCUCCAUGAUGCUGGGCAUCACAGCUCAGGUCAAGGAGGCUGGCGUUGCGUGGGACAAAGGAGAGAAGAAGAAUCUGGAUGGUCUGAGAUCCUUUCAGAAUAAUAUCGCUGCCAUUCAGAGGGAUGCUGUGUGGUGGCUUCACACUGUUGUUCCCACUAUUGCCAAAGUGCCAUCCAAGGACUAUAUACACUGUCUUCACAAGGUGCUUUUCACAGAGCAACCAGAGACCUACUACAAGUGGGAUAACUGGCCCCCUGAGAGCGACAGAAAUUUCUUCCUGCGGCUGUGCUCGGAAGUGCCUCUGCUGGAGGACACUCUAAUGCGCAUCCUGGUCAUCGGACUGUCCCGUGACCUUCCUCUGGGCCCGGCCGACGCCAUGGAGCUGGCGGACCACCUGGUGAAGAGGGCAGCCGGGGUCCAGUCCGAUGGUACAACAUCUGCAACAGCAAUGGAUCUGGAUGUUUUGAGAGUGGAGCGGAUCCAACUGAUUGACGCAGUGCUGAACCUGUGCACCUACCACCACCCAGAGAACAUUCAGCUGCCUGCGGGCUAUACUCCUCCGAACCUGGCGAUAGCCACACUCUACUGGAAAGCGUGGCUCCUGUUACUUGUGGUGGCCGCUUUCAAUCCACAGCAAAUAGGCUUGGCUGCCUGGGAUGGCUAUCCCACACUGAAAAUGCUCAUGGAGAUGGUUAUGACAAAUAACUACUCCUACCCUCCAUGCACGGUGGCCGAUGAGGAGACCAAGACAGAGAUGAUCAACAGGGAGCUGCAGGUGUCCCAGAAAGAGAAGCAGGAGAUCCUGGCCUUCGAGAGCCACCUGGCGGCUGCCUCCACCAAGCAGACCAUCACAGAGAGCAACAGCCUACUGCUGUCCCAGCUCACCAGUCUGGACCCACAGGGCCCCCCUCGCAAACCCCCACCCGCAGUCCAGGAGCAGGUGAAGAGCCUUAACCAGUCCCUUCGCCUGGGUCACCUCCUCUGUCGCUCUCGCAACCCUGACUUCCUGCUCAACAUCAUCCAGAGACAGGCCUCCUCUCAGUCAAUGCCCUGGCUGGCUGACCUGGUGCAGUCCAGUGAGGGGUCCUUGGAUGUGCUGCCUGUGCAGUGCCUGUGUGAAUUCCUGCUUCACGAUGCUGCAGAUGACAACUUGCCCAUCGAGGAUGACGAGGAAGGAGAGAGCAAAGAGCAGAGAGCCAAGAAAAGACAAAGGCAACAAAAGCAGCGGCAGCUCCUUGGACGGCUGCAGGAUCUGCUGUUGGGUCCUAAAGCUGACGAACAGACCACGUGUGAGGUGUUGGACUACUUCCUGCGCCGCCUCAGCUCUUCUCAAGUGGCGUCAAGAGUCCUGGCUAUGAAGGGUCUGUCGCUGGUGCUGACUGAGGGGGUCUGAAGGAUGGAGAGGAGAGGGACCAGCCCAUGGAGGAGGACUCCAGAGAUGCUGAGCUCCUGCCAGGCUACCAGUGGCUCCUGCAGGACCUCCCCAAGCUUGCCCCUGUUCGACAGCGUCCGGGGCAUGACCUCCACCGCUCUGCAGCAGGCCAUCCACAUGGAGACAGACCCACAGACCAUCAGCGCCUACCUCAUCUACCUGUCCCAGCAUGCACCAGUGGAGGAGCAGGCAUCUCACAAUGACCUCGCUCUGGAUGUGGCCCGUCUGAUUGUCGAGCGCUCCACCAUCAUGAACAGCCUGUUCUCCAAGUACUCCUGCCGGCCCGAGUCAGACGCCGUGCUCUCAGCCCUCAUCUCCAUCUUCUCCAGCUACAUCAGGAGGAUGAGGAAGACCAAAGAGGAGAGGACCUCUACAGCUGGUCAGAAUCUCAGGACCAGGUGUUUCUGCGUUGGACCACAGGAGAGACGGCCACCAUGCACAUUCUGGUGGUCCAUGCCAUGGUCAUUCUCCUGACGCUCGGGCCACCCAAAGAGGAGAGUGACUUCUUCAACCUCCUGGACAUCUGGUUCCCCGACAAGAAACCCCUCCCCACCGCCUUCCUGGUGGACACCUCCGAGGAGGCCCUGCUGCUACCUGAUUGGUUGAAGCUGAGGAUGAUCCGGUCAGAGGUUUCACGAUUGGUGGAUGCAGCGCUGCAGGAUCUGGAGCCCCAGCAGCUGCUGCUGUUUGUCCAGUCGUUUGGCAUCCCUGUGUCCAGUAUGAGUAAACUGCUGCAGUACCUGGACCAGGCUGUAUCCCACGACUCACAGACACUGGAACAGAACAUCAUGGACAAGAACUACAUGGCUCAUCUGGUGGAGGUGCAGCAUGAGCGAGGCGCCACAGGGGGCACACUUUCCACGGGUUGCUCAGCUCCUCUCUCCCUCCUCGCAGAGAUAGUACUGAGGUGAACAGAGCCAAAGUUACCGUGGAAACUCUUAGUUGCUCCUUGAAGAUGAGAGCCAAUCAGAUCCCAGUGAUUGGGCCUGAGGAUGACCUCACCGGCAUGUUGCUUCAGAUGUUCCCUCUGAAGGUGGACCUCCGCAGGCCCAGCCCCCCUCCCCGGCCCCUCUCCCUGGCCAUGCAGCAGGCUCUGGCACAAGAGCUGGUGCGUGCCAGACAGGGGGGGCACCCCAGCAGGAUGGGGUGGCAGUGCAUCUCCUACAGGCCCUGGCUGCCCUGCUCAGCUCUGCCCACGCCGGUGCCCUCGUCAUGGCCAUGAACCGCAGCCACGCCCUGUCCUGUCCCAUGCUGCGCCAGCUGCACCUCUACCAGGUAUGAUUGAUUUACUCAGCUGUCCUUUUAAACAGUGCAACAGUGCUGCAUCUCUGUCUCUCUCUACCUCCUUUGGAGGCGGGGCCGCUGCGGGCCUUGCUCAAAUCCUUCGCUGGACAGUAUUCCCAGAAGCACCGGCUCACUGAUGUUCGUACAGGCUUCCUCCACCUGGCUGAGGCCCUGGCUUAUCGGAGGGACUCCGAGAUGGCCGUGAGGGCCAUAAUCGCCACACUGAAGGCAGGGGAGAGAUGUAAUGCAGAGCCGGAACUGAUAGGCAAAGUGUUACAGGGGCUAGUGGAGGGGAAGUCUCCGUAUUUGGAGGAACUGCUGGCCUUGCUAAUGACUACUGGAACAGAGACGGGGCCGGCUCUACCACCGCAGGCCCUGUUGCCAUGGUGAUAGCGCUGCUUCUCCAGGAGACUGAAGAGCAAGCUGUGAAAAUGGAGGUGGAUACAAACAGCAGCUCUGAGGUGACAAAGACCAGGUCCAGCUCAGGGCUGCUUGUUGAUUGGCUGGGACUUCUUGACCCUGAGGUCACAUCUGUGUGCCCAGACCUUCAGCGGAAGUUGCUCUUUGCUCUCAACAAGGGUAAAGGAACUCCCUCCUACAGACCAUACCUUCUGGCAUUGCUGACCCAUCAGUCCAACUGGACAACUCUUCAUCAGUGCAUCAGUGCUCUUCUCAGCAAGCAGCAAGACCAGCGACUGGACCCAUCUUCUACUCUGGACUUCCUGUGGGCCUGCAGUCACAUCCCUCGUAUCUGGCAGGGCCGGGACCAGAAGACCCCACAGAAACAAACAGAUACGUUUGUCCUGCGUUUGAACCCGGAGGAGCUUAUCAGUCUGGUGGACCUCAUCAUGUCAGAGUCUGAGCUCAACAGCCGCAGCAACUCCUCUCCCCCUGCCAACACCCCCGACAAGGCCAAGAGCACCCUGGACCAAAUCUCCUGCUCCCUCAUCCAGUCACGGCUGCCCCUGCUCCACAGCUGUUGCCAUGGCGACCUGGAGAGAGUGAAGAAAGUCUCGGAAUACCUCAUCAACUGCACAAAGAAAUGGGGAGACAGUGUGAUGAGUAAGCGGUGCCAGAACCUCCUGCUCCAGCUCUACCUGCACUUCCCAGAGGUCAUCCAGCACGUGACCUUACCUGACGCCACCCUGAGCAGCGAGGGGGCUGCCGACGGCACCACAUGCAAGCACGACGUCCUGGUUCACCGUCUGGUCACGUUGCUAGGCGAUACGGGAGACACAAAGUCGGCUGAGAACCGGAUGUCAGACGCUAACCUGGCCUGCAGGAAGCUGGCUGUGUCCCACCCGGUCCUCCUCCUCAGACACUUGCCGAUGAUCGGAGCGCUUCUCCAUGGACGCAUCCACCUCAACUUCCAGGAGUUCCGGAGCCAGAACCACCUGACAUUCUUCAGCAACGUGCUGGCCAUCCUGGAGCUGCUUCAGCCGUUAGUUUUCCACUGUGAACACCAGAGGGCGCUGCAGGACUGCCUUCUCUCCUUCAUGAAGAUCUUGCAGAACCUCAGGAGACCUCGUAUGCAUCCGUUGGCCGUCUUCAGUAAAUAUGUGCAGUUCAUUCAGAAGUACAUUACCCACGAUGCAGCAUCAGCCAUUCCCUAUCUACAGAAGCAUUCUGAUAUCCUACAGGGGCUCUCGUCAGAGCACCCUGACCUGCUGCUUAAGUCCCUGCUGGCUGGCCUCACCCUGCCUGUGAAGACUGGCUCCUCUGACAGCUCUGCAGAGGACAGAGAUGAUGAGUCGUCCUCUGGUUCCCUGCCCAUGGUCAGUAUCGCGGCCUCCGUUCCACUGACUGCAGCUGACAUGACCAAGUACCUGAAGAAGAUCUCCAGGGGAGAAGCCAUCGAAGACGUGCUGGAAGUUCUGACCGAGGUGGAGGACAAGUCCAAGAGGAAUCCUGAGAUCAUCCAGUACUUCACUAAUGACCUGCGGAGACUGGUGAGUUCUACUGAGGAGUUGUGCCGUAACAUGGCCUUCAGCCUGGCCCUGCGCUGCAUCCAGAACAACCCGUGUACUGCAGCAGACUUCCUGCCCACCUUCAUGUACUGUAUGGGCAGCGGGAACUUUGACGUGGUGCAGACAGCGCUUAGGAACCUGCCAGAAUACGUGCUGCUCUGUCAAGAGCAUGCAGACAUCUUACUCCACAAGGCCUUCUUGGUGGGGAUCUAUGGGCAGAUUGACACCAGCUCUAUGAUCUCUGAGUCCAUGAAGGUCCUGCACAUGGAGGCAACAACAUGAGGACCCGGAGAUACAAGUCCUUCUCCUCUGACGGGAGGCAGUGUCACCGUAAAGUUUUUGUACUGUACAUUUAGACUCGUGUCAUACACAAUUGCUCUGUUCUUUUUAUCCAUUUGGUCAUUUCAUCAGGAUUUAUGGAUUGAUACAAACUGAUUCUUUGAUUCGAAGGUAAUAUCGAAGUAUUCAAAAGAUGGUGAUAAUGAUUAUUGUAAAAAAAGGAAAUAAUGUCACUCAUGCUUGUUUUGCAGUGGUAGUGCUUCUAUUAUUUUUGAAAUAAUGAAUACUGGCUAUCAACCAAUGUCAGAAAUGUAAUAAAAAAAGGAAAACUUUUGACAUUUAG